rnacentral:rRNA from 1 species
UACGAAGGGUGCAAGCGUUACUCGGAAUUACUGGGCGUAAAGCGUGCGUAGGUGGUUAUUUAAGUCCGUUGUGAAAGCCCUGGGCUCAACCUGGGAACUGCAGUGGAUACUGGAUGACUAGAAUGUGGUAGAGGGUAGCGGAAUUCCUGGUGUAGCAGUGAAAUGCGUAGAGAUCAGGAGGAACAUCCAUGGCGAAGGCAGCUACCUGGACCAACAUUGACACUGAGGCACGAAAGCGUGGGGAGCAAACAGGAUUAGAUACCCUGGUAGUCCACGCCCUAAACGAUGCGAACUGGAUGUUGGGUGCAAUUUGGCACGCAGUAUCGAAGCUAACGCGUUAAGUUCGCCGCCUGGGGAGUACGGUCGCAAGACUGAA